UACAGGGGGUGCGAGCGUUAAUCGGAAUUACUGGGCGUAAAGCGUGCGUAGACGGCUAUCUAAGUCGGGUGUGAAAGCCCCGGGCUCAACCUGGGAAUUGCAUUCGAGACUGAAUAGCUAGGGUACGGUAGAGGGAAGCGGAAUUUCCGGUGUAGCGGUGAAAUGCGUAGAUAUCGGAAGGAACAUCAGUGGCGAAAGCGGCUUCCUGGACCAGUACCGACGUUCAGGCACGAAAGCGUGGGGAGCAAACAGG
rnacentral:rRNA from 1 species